UCCGGGAGGGUUUGGGAGGAGCUCGGGCAGCUCGGAGGAGAUUUGGGGGGAGUUUGGGAAAUUUGGGGAUUUUCGGGAAUAUUUUUGGGAAUUUGGAGGAUUUCUUGGGUGAAUUCUGUGGGAAUUCGGGGGUGUUUUUUUUGGGUGAAUUCUCUGGGAAUUCGGGGGUGUUUUUUUGGGUGAAUUCUGUAUAAAUUCAGGGUGAUUUUUGGGUGAGUUCUGUGGGCUUUGGGGGUGUUUUUUGGGUGAAUUCUCCGGGAAUUCGGGGUUUCUCCCCCCGGCAGGAGGAGCUGUCGCGGCUGCGCCGGAAGCUGGAGAAGCAGCGCAAGGUGGAGGUUUACGCCGACGCCGACCAGAUCCUGCAGGAGGAGAUCAAGGAGUACCGGGCCCGGCUGACGUGUCCGUGCUGCAACGCCCGCAAGAAGGACGCGGUGCUGACCAAGUGCUUCCACGUCUUCUGCUUCGAGUGCGUCAAGAGCCGCUACGACACGCGGCAGCGCAAGUGCCCCAAGUGCAACGCCGCCUUCGGCGCCCACGACUUCCACCGCGUCUACAUCAGCUGAGUGACCCUGAGUGACCGCUGAGUGACCCUGAGUGACCACUGAGUGACCGCUGAGUGACCGCUGGGUGACCGCCCAGUGACCGCUGAGUGACCGCCCAGUGACCCCUGAGUGACCACUGACUUCCCCUGACCACCCCUGACGUCCCCUGAGUGACCACCGAGUGACCACUCACGACCCCUGAGUGACCCCUGACCGCCCCACACCAUUUCUGACCACCCCAGGGUGACCACCGGUCACUUUCAGCCACCCCUGGCCCCCUCCCGGCCACCUUUGGCCGGUCCGGAGUGGUCACCACCCUCCGACCCCUCCCCCCAGCCUUGACCUUUGACCCCUGAGCGUCCCCGCCUGGCCCCGCCCCCUUUCCCCUCUCAGCCAAUAAAAACGCGCGGAAUCGUUC
rnacentral:lncRNA from 1 species